rnacentral:rRNA from 1 species
UACGUAGGGGGCUAGCGUUGUCCGGAAUCAUUGGGCGUAAAGCGCGUGUAGGCGGUCCGGUAAGUCCGCUGUGAAAGUCGAGGGCUCAACCCUCGAAUGCCGGUGGAUACUGUCGGGCUAGAGUGCGGAAGAGGUGAGUGGAAUUCCUGGUGUAGCGGUGAAAUGCGCAGAUAUCGGUAGGAACACCAGUGGCGAAGGCGGUCUCCUGGGGCAUUCUUGACGCUGAGGCGCGAAAGCUGGGGGAGCAAACGGG